GGUGACGGCGUGCCUUUUGAAGAAUGAGCCUGCGAGUUAGUGUUACGUCGCGAGGUUAACCCGUGUGGGGAAGCCGUAGCGAAAGCGAGUCUGAAUAGGGCGUUGCAGUGGCGUGAUCUAGACCCGAAGCGAAGUGAUCUACCCAUGGCCAGGUUGAAGCGACGGUAAGACGUCGUGGAGGACCGAACCCACUUCAGUUGAAAAUGGAGGGGAUGAGCUGUGGGUAGGGGUGAAAGGCCAAUCAAACUUCGUGAUAGCUGGUUCUCCCCGAAAUGCAUUUAGGUGCAGCGUUGCGUGUUUCUUACCGGAGGUAGAGCUACUGGAUGGCUAAUGGGCCCUACAAGGUUACUGACGUCAGCCAAACUCCGAAUGCCGGUAAGUGAGAGCGCAGCAGUGAGACUGUGGGGGAUAAGCUUCAUAGUCGAGAGGGAAACAGCCCAGACCACCAACUAAGGCCCCUAAGCGUGUGCUAAGUGGGAAAGGAUGUGGAGUUGCGAAGACAACCAGGAGGUUGGCUUAGAAGCAGCCAUCCUUAAAAGAGUGCGUAAUAGCUCACUGGUCAAGUGAUUCCGCGCCGACAAUGUAGCGGGGCUCAAGUACACCGCCGAAGUUGUGGAUUUCAGAUAUUAGCUAAGCCGCCCCUUGUGGGUUGGUUCAGGCGUCUGGAGUGGUAGGGGAGCGUCGUGUGGGCAGUGAAGUCGCGGUGGAAACCAGCGGUGGAGCCUACACGAGUGAGAAUGCAGGCAUGAGUAGCGAAAGACGGGUGAGAAACCCGUCCGCCGGAUGAUCAAGGGUUCCAGGGUCAAGCUAAUCUGCCCUGGGUAAGUCGGGACCUAAGGCGAGGCCGACAGGCGUAGUCGAUGGACAACGGGUUGAUAUUCCCGUACCGGCGAAAAACCGCCCAUGCUGAACAGGGGACACUAACCGCCCGAAACCUGCCUGACAUCCCUUCGGGGGUGAAGGGUUUUGGUGGAGCGCGGGACCUGAUCCUGGGAGGCAAGCGUAUUAACAGGUGUGACGCAGGAAGGUAGCCGAGCCGGGCGAUGGUUGUCCCGGUCUAAGGAUGUAGGGCGAACGGUAGGCAAAUCCGCCGUUCAUGAUGCCUGAGAUCUGACGGGACCCCCGUAUGGGGGGAUUCGGUGAUCCUAUGCUGCCGAGAAAAGCAUCGACGCGAGGUUUUAGCCGCCCGUACCCCAAACCGACACAGGUGAUCAGGUAGAGAAUACUAAGGCGAUCGAGAGAAUUAUGGUUAAGGAACUCGGCAAAAUGCCCCCGUAACUUCGGGAGAAGGGGGGCCCCAACCUUGAACACCACUUGCUGGUGGGAGGGGAUCGGGGCCGCAGAGACCAGGGGGAAGCGACUGUUUACUAAAAACACAGGUCCGUGCGAAGUCGCAAGACGAUGUAUACGGACUGACUCCUGCCCGGUGCUGGAAGGUUAAGAGGACCGGUUAGCCGCAAGGCGAAGCUGAGAAUUUAAGCCCCAGUAAACGGCGGUGGUAACUAUAACCAUCCUAAGGUAGCGAAAUUCCUUGUCGGGUAAGUUCCGACCUGCACGAAUGGAGUAACGACUUCCCCGCUGUCUCAACCAUAAACUCGGCGAAAUUGCAGUACGAGUAAAGAUGCUCGUUACGCGCAGCAGGACGGAAAGACCCCGAGACCUUUACUAUAGUUUGGUAUUGGUGUUCGGAGUGGCUUGUGUAGGAUAGGUGGGAGACGUUGAAGCCCGGACGCCAGUUCGGGUGGAGUCAUCGUUGAAAUACCACUCUGGUCACUUUGGACAUCUAACUUCGGCCCGUAAUCCGGGUCAGGGACAGUGCCUGAUGGGUAGUUUAACUGGGGCGGUUGCCUCCUAAAAAGUAACGGAGGCGCCCAAAGGUUCCCUCAGCCUGGUUGGCAAUCAGGUGUCGAGUGUAAGUGCACAAGGGAGCUUGACUGUGAGAGAGACAUCUCGAGCAGGGACGAAAGUCGGGACUAGUGAUCCGGCGGUACAUUGUGGAAUGGCCGUCGCUCAACGGAUAAAAGGUACCUCGGGGAUAACAGGCUGAUCUUGCCCAAGAGUCCAUAUCGACGGCAUGGUUUGGCACCUCGAUGUCGGCUCGUCGCAUCCUGGGGCUGGAGUAGGUCCCAAGGGUUGGGCUGUUCGCCCAUUAAAGCGGUACGCGAGCUGGGUUUAGAACGUCGUGAGACAGUUCGGUCCCUAUCCGCUGCGCGCGCAGGAAAUUUGAGAAGGGCUGUCCUUAGUACGAGAGGACCGGGACGGACGAACCUCUGGUGUGUCAGUUGUACUGCCAAGUGCACCGCUGAUUAGCUACGUUCGGAUGGGAUAACCGCUGAAAGCAUCUAAGCGGGAAGCUCGCUUCGAGAUGAGAUUUCCAUACACCUUGUGUGUGAGAGGCCCCCAGCCAGACCACUGGGUUGAUAGGCCGGAUGUGGAAGCGAGGACUAACGACUCGUGAAGCUGACCGGUACUAAUAGGCCGAUAACUUACACC
rnacentral:rRNA from 1 species